rnacentral:piRNA from 1 species
CUGUUCUGACUGACUCAUGAUGAAAAGAA